AACGAACGCUGGCGGCGUGCCUAACACAUGCAAGUCGUGCGAGAAAGCGGGGGCAACUCUGCAAGUACAGCGGCGCACGGGUGAGUAACACGUAGGUAACCUACCUUUGAGACUGGGAUAACCUGUCGAAAGACGGGCUAAUACCAGAUAAGACCACCGAAGUUGCGGCUUCGGCGGUAAAAGAUGGCCUCUGCUUGCAUGCUAUCACUUAAGGAUGGGCCCUGCGCGCCAUUAGCUAGUUGGCGGGGGUAAAAGACCCACCCAAGGCAAAGAUGGCUAGCUGGUCUGAGAGGAUGGCCAGCCACACUGGGACUGAGACACGGCCCAGACUCCUACGGGAGGCAGCAGUGGGGAAUAUUGCGCAAUGGGCGAAAGCCUGACGCAGCGACGCCGCGUGGGUGAUGAAGG
rnacentral:rRNA from 1 species